AUGCAAUUGGAGCAUCUGAAGGAAGAAGAGACCUUGAAGCAGAAGAUGUCUGAGGAACUCGCAGUGGGCAAGAUACACUUGCUGCAGUGACAAACUGCUGUCCCAUCACGGUUGAUGGCCUCUUUGAUUGCAUAGAUGGGACCUCCAUUAAAUCUGCCUUUGCUCCACCAAACAUCAGCCUGAAAAGCUCGGAUGGAAAAAAGGAAUUGGAGCAAACAAGCAAGGAUGCUUUGUUUUGAUUCAUGGGAAUUUCAUAUCACUUCUGAAGCUUCAGUAUAAAGCAGCAGAAUCAAGCUAAGUCCGGAAAAAGUGUUGUAAUGAGCACCUCAU